AGUGAACGCUGGCAGUAGGCCUAACACAUGCAAGUCGAACGGCAGCACAGUAAGAGCUUGCUCUUACGGGUGGCGAGUGGCGGACGGGUGAGGAAUACAUCGGAAUCUACUUUUUCGUGGGGGAUAACGUAGGGAAACUUACGCUAAUACCGCAUACGACCUACGGGUGAAAGCAGGGGAUCUUCGGACCUUGCGCGAUUGAAUGAGCCGAUGUCGGAUUAGCUAGUUGGCGGGGUAAAGGCCCACCAAGGCGACGAUCCGUUGCUGGUCUGAGAGGAUGAUCAGCCACACUGGAACUGAGACACGGUCCAGACUCCUACGGGAGGCAGCAGUGGGGAAUAUUGGACAAUGGGCGCAAGCCUGAUCCAGCCAUACCGCGUGGGUGAAGAAGGCCUUCGGGUUGUAAAGCCCUUUUGUUGGGAAAGAAAAGCAGCAGGUUAAUACCCCGCUGUUCUGACGGUACCCAAAGAAUAAGCACCGGCUAACUUCGUG
rnacentral:rRNA from 1 species